UACGUAGGGUGCGAGCGUUGUCCGGAAUUAUUGGGCGUAAAGGGCUCGUAGGCGGUUUGUCGCGUCGGGAGUGAAAACCCAGGGCUUAACCCUGGGCUGGCUUUCGAUACGGGCAGACUAGAGGUAUGCAGGGGAGGACGGAAUUCCUGGUGUAGCGGUGAAAUGCGCAGAUAUCAGGAGGAACACCGGUGGCGAAGGCGGUUCUCUGGGCAUUACCUGACGCUGAGGAGCGAAAGUGUGGGGAGCGAACAGG
rnacentral:rRNA from 1 species